rnacentral:rRNA from 1 species
UACGUAGGUGGCAAGCGUUGUCCGGAUUUACUGGGCGUAAAGGGCGUGCAGGCGGUUUGUUAAGUGCAGGGUGAAAGCUCCCGGCUCAACUGGGAGAGGUCCUUGCAUACUGGCAAACUCGAGGGAGGCAGAGGAAAGUGGAAUUCCCGGUGUAGUGGUGAUAUGCGUAGAUAUCGGGAGGAACACCUGCGGUGUAGACGGCUUACUGGACCAUAACUGACGCUGAGGCACGAAAGCGUGGGUAGCAAACAGG